AUAGACGUCCACAGUGCGGAACUGUGGAUUUCUAAUGGCUCUAUAUAGGACGUCUAAUGGACGUUUCAUUUCUAUGUGGGGGGCUUCCUCCCCUCUUUAUGGGACCAUAGCGGUGCACAUGCGCGGCGCCGGGCGCACAUGGGGACCGAGCGAACUGGCAGUAGCGUAGCGUGCAUGCGUGCGUGCGGAUAUAUACAGAGUUUAUAAUACAGAAAAUAAAAGAGUUCUUGAGUAUAACAAUUCGAGUGUUUAUUUCUGACCGUACCUCAGAGACGACGGUCCUACAGGUUACGGGCCCAGGGCACGUGUCCACUGCAUAGAAAAGUGCGACGAAAUAACACCGGAAAAAGCUCAGUGCGUUUUAGAGAAAAAGGCCUAAGAGAAUUCUAAAAGAUAAGUAUACAAGAUCUCUGUUCUGACGAAAAUUGAGAACGAUACUUAUAAUAAAAUUAGAGAAUUCUAGAAAAUUAAAAGAAUUCUAGAAGGUUAGAGACCCUAACAGCACAUGAUAUCCUACAUAUCAUGCCAUUUUAAUACUCAAUGUACUGUGAUCAUCGUAGAAUGUUGAGAUCAUCGCUAUAAUAUCUUUUACAGUAUUAUUCGAUUUUCUUUCGCGCGCGUAUACUCUCAGGUUGUACUCAAUGUACGAAAAUAAUACGUACGGCUUUUUACUGCGCGCAUAAAUUCUCAGGUUUUACUCAAGAUACGGAAACGGUACGUAUACGAACGACAUUUGCAUACGUAGAAUCAUCACUGUUCCAGUCUCUUUUCUACGGACUCGUGUGGUAAUAUAUAUUAAUUAUAUUGAAGCGUAAUUGAUAUAAAGGUAAUUUUUUUUUAUAACUUUUAUUUCAUAAAAUAUUGAAUAAAGUUAGCGAAACAAUUGUUACAUAAUAUAAAUUACGCGAUAUGUUUUAAUAUUUUGUACAACUACGUAAAACUUCUGAUUAAGAAGUUAUCCUUGGUCACAAAGCCGCAUUUAGCAAAGGUAUUAUUCAUGCUAAAAGAUGUAAAACUAUAAUAAUUAAAACGUUUUGCGUUAAAUAUCUUAUUUGAUAUACAUACAGUUUCCAAGUAGUGUCGCGAACGUGAAGUGAUACGGUCAGCAUAUUCGUCUGAACUUAUAUAUUUUUGAAGGUUACUGAUACAAUCAACCGUCUUUGUUGUAUUUGUUAUUAUUUUUGUGAAAAUGUCCGGAACGUCCCGCGAAUCUUAUUAUUAUAUUGGUAAUUAUGUCUUAUAACAUUAAUAAUACAUAAAAUUGCUUUCAGAGGUGCUUGCUUUUGCGGUUCAAUUUCUUUAUAUUAUUUAGAUUGGCCGCUGGUUAUUUGACAAUCUACUGCUGGUUUUACGCUGUAGAAAUUUACGUGACAGGUAUGCUUUAUUCAACACAUAAACUUAAAAUUAAUUUAGUUUCAUCAUAUUUUUUUAAAGAUAUAAUUUGAAUUUGUUAACUUGUAAUUGUACAAUUUAUAUCUGUUACAGGCAAAGCUCGCAUGGUAGUGUCAGUAUUGCCCGGGAAGAGCCUACAGGAGGGCAGUAUCUAAAAGAUAUAAUCUGAUUUAAAUCAAAUUGUAUUCGCGACACACCGGGCCAUAUUUGCUAUAAACAAGCUUUGCCAAGUAUUAUAUUCACAUUAUAAUAAAAACAAAUUUAUAAUGUAAAAUUGUCAAAUUAAUGGACGUGUUCAAGACUAACAGAGCGGCUAGCCUGCUCGCCGAGUGGUUGAAUAUGUGAUUGAUUGGAUCUAUAAGAAAAAAUUAUAUUUAAUCGCUCGGCGAGCAGGCUAGCUGCUUUGUCAUCUUGACGCAAUAACCCUAACCUAAUCCUAAUCUAUAUGUAAGCGCGCGCGUCCCACUGCGUAAAUGUGUGCGUGUAUAAGUGAUCGACUGAAGCCUUCCCGUUUUCAUCAUUGCGUCAAUCUAUAGACAUUCGCAGCGACACUCUAUGGGAGAAUGUACCGCGGACAUGCGAACGUUCUCAGAAUGUAUUUGGUUAAUCGCAGUACGUAAUGCGAUUGUUCUGAGAAUAUACGCAAUAUACGUUUGCGAUAUUCUCAGAACGUUCUCAGAAUCUCCGUGUGCUAUUAGGGAUUUGAUAUCUUUUUCUCUCGGACCUAUAGACAUAGUAAGUAUAGACCGAGCAUUCCGCUGUAAACGUUGAUGCAUACGAAAAGAAAGAGAAAAGAUAUAAAGAAUCUCUUUCUCUCUCUGACAUCAUCGUACUAGGGAGAGCCUGGCAGGGGAAAUGAUGGAUCGAUGCGAGGAGAUGAGGAGAAGUGCUCCCCACUUCUCCGGCAUUAAAACGAGAAUGCUCGGUCUAUACUUACUAUGUCUAUGCUCGGACCAUAUACAUGUGUUGCGUUGCUAAGUGCGCCAUGCGCAUGUCGAGCUACCCGGUGUGCUAAACAUUUGAAACUCGAGUUAAAAUUACAGUGUGGAUCCGUGUAAUUGAAAAAUUGACUUCAAAGAGAUUAGAUGAAUACAAAGAGAUUAGAUAAGUAUGAAGAUGCUAGAGAAAUCUAAAUCAAAGUCGAUGUGCACCGGGUCAGAAAUCGAGUGUAACUUGCUGUGCGGUAUGGCUCGACUAUUGAAGGAGGCCGGGCAAACCUGUAUGUGUCCCAUACGUGUGCGUGAUCAACCCAAAUCCCAUAGAUCUUUUCAACAGUGCUGGAGGUCACAUAUCGGAGAGUGGUGUGUACGUGUGAAUGACGCUGCAGAGACGCGUGGUUUCCCGCUUUCAGUCUAUACUGAAUUGCCGUGCGUUCUUUAUAGUCUCGAAGGCACAAGAAAAUUUCUUCCUGCGUUGAGAAUAUUAGAAGAGAAUCGUCUUAUAUCCAUUAUUGUAUAUCGAAAAUUACAAUAUAAUUUAUUGUAAAUCCCGGUUCAGAUGUCGCAAGAAGAUAAAAAGGAUGUAAUAUCUCUAGAGAAUGAAGAUUCUCAGCGUCAAAUUGUUGAUUACGAAAGCGAUGACAAAAAUGAUAAGACGACGACAGAGGAGUUUGCAAAAAUUAGAGAAAGAGAAGAGGUUGAAUCUAUAGAGACUAGAGAAAAAGGUAUGAGUAUAAACGUUUAAUUAAAAGAAUGCAGCACAUUUCACAUAAUUAUAGGUAAAAGGGUGAGAACAAUUAAGAGAUUAAGAGUUAGAAGUAUCUAUAUAUAUGUGCAAGUGUGUAAACAAAAAUUUAUACUAAUUUAAAAUUUUUUAAUUUAGAGAAUACGAAACUGGUAGAAGAUCAAUCUAGAGGAACCUUACCAAAGAAACCACGAAUUUUAGAGAAUAAAAUAGUACAUGAAGACCGACCAAUCUUGCCAAUUGGGAGCAAGAUUUUAUACAAAAAACAAGAAAGACUAAUCGCCAAAAAUGACUUAAUGGCAGAUAAAAUGUAGGCAUCGCUCGGCAUGAUAGAAAGGAUUAUGGAGGGAGCGAAUAAAAUGAUGGAGAAGAUGGUCAGAGUGUCGGAGAUAAAUCUAGAGGAACAAAGAGUCUAACUUAGAUGUUUAGAGGUAAAUAAAAAAACACAAAAAGUUUAGAAAAUUUAGAGAAAAACCAUGUUUAAAAUUCAAGAGAAUUAGAGUUAAAAAAUAGAAGAAAAUUAGAAGGAAUGAUUCAUGGAUCUGAGAAUAGAGAAAAAGAAGUAGCUAACGAUAACAGUUUAGAAGUAAUUAAGAGUGUAAUUAAAAGCGAGCUGAACGAUCAAAAAAUAAAUAUUAAGCGAGAAUAUAAGUUGACGCAAAAAUCCAACUUUGAUUUUUGGCUAGAUUAUUUGAGAUCGGAACUAAUGAGUAACGAUUUGUUAGAUGUUAUAGAUAUUAAAGUAAAGAGUUCAGAAAAUCUCACAGAAUUAAAAAUAAUUAAAAGAAAUAAUCUUGUCAGAGACAUAAUAAUUAAUCACUUAGACGAAAAAUAUCAUAAGAGAAUUCUACAUGAGCAUAAUUCUAAAGAAAUUUUGAAGAGACUAAGAAGUUAUAAAAAGAGUGAGACAAAUGUUACUCAUACAUCCGUAAGAACUUGUUUAUAUCAAAUAAAAAUGAGAAAAGAUGAAAAAGUAAGUGAUUUUUGCGAACGCUUUGAUUCUAUCACUAGAGAAUAUGAGACAUGUGAAGAUGCAGUGCUUCUCACUGAACAAGAGAUUAGAUCAUCAUUUUAUCAGGCAGUUUCUUCUAAUACACCUGAAUUAAGAAGUGUUGAUUUGAUUAGAAGACAAACAGAGAGAGAGAGAACCUGAGAGAAUAAAUGUUGAUGAGAUAAAGGAUGCGUUCGAGGAGACGCUAUUAGCGCUAUCAGCAUCAGUUUAUCCUUGUUCUACUUUUAAUGAGUAAUAGAUAGACUGAUGCUGGUAGCGCUAAUAGCGUCUCCCCGAACGCACCCAAAAUCAUUAUGCAGCUGAAACUGCUGUACAUGUGUACAACAGAUCUCCACAUAAAACGUUAGAGUAUGAAGUCCUGUUAACGAAGUUCGCACCAAAAACGAAAUGUCACCAUGAACAAAUAAAGAGAUUUGGAUGUAUAGGAUACGCAAGAGUACCGAAACCCAGUUCAAAGUUUGAUACUAGAACAAUUAGAGUCGUAUUAGUGGGAUAUACCAAUACUGGUUAUCUAUUGUGGCAUUCUAGUACGAAAAAAUUUAUAGAGUCACGACAUAUCAAAUUCAACAAGAAGGUUGUAUACAAAGAGAUAUAUAAACUCAGUCAAUUAGAGGAUGACAAGAAUUGGAUGAAAGAGUUUGGAGAAAAAAAUAAUAUAGAGGAAACAGAGCAAAGCAACUUAGAGCCCCCAAAAA